rnacentral:rRNA from 1 species
GCCUAUGGCCAAACCACCCUGAAUGUGCCUGAUCUUGGAAGCUAAGCAGGGUUGGGCCUGGUUAGUACUUGGUUGGGAGGAAUCUACUCACUUAGGAA